GUAAAUAUAGUUUAUUCAAAACACUAGACUGUGACUCUAGAAAUAGAAGCCCUAUCUUCUUGUUUACC
rnacentral:tRNA from 1 species